GAUAAAGAUGGCUCCUUACUCAA
rnacentral:siRNA from 1 species